rnacentral:rRNA from 1 species
UCAGGAUGAACGCUAGCGACAGGCUAACACAUGCAAGUCGAGGGGCAGCAUAAAAGUAGCAUACUUGGUGGCGACCGGCGCACGGGUGAGUAACGCGUAUGCAACCUACCUAUCAGAGGGGAAUAACCCGGCGAAAGUCGGACUAAUACCGCAUAAAACAGGGACACCGCAUGGUGAUAUUUGUUAAAGAAAUUCGCUGAUAGGAUGGGCAUGCGUUCCAUUAGGUAGUUGGUGAGGUAACGGCUCACCAAGCCGACGAUGGAUAGGGGAACUGAGAGGUUGGUCCCCCACACUGGUACUGAGACACGGACCAGACUCCUACGGGAGGCAGCAGUGAGGAAUAUUGGUCAAUGGGCGAGAGCCUGAACCAGCCAAGUCGCGUGAAGGAAGAAGGAUCUAUGGUUCGUAAACUUCUUUUGCAGGGGAAUAAAGUGCAGGACGUGUCCUGUUUUGUAUGUACCCUGAGAAUAAGGAUCGGCUAACUCCGUGCCAGCCGCCGC